rnacentral:rRNA from 1 species
UAGUCUCGCACAGAUGCAUAUCAAUAAGCGGAGGAAAAGAAACUAACAAGGAUUCCCCUAGUAACGGCGAGUGAAGCGGGAAGAGCUCAAAUUUGAAAUCUUAAAGGGUUUCCCUUUACGAAUUGUAGUUUAAAGAAGUGUUUUCUGUUGAGGUUUUGGUAAAAGUUCUUUGGAAUAGGACAUCAUAGAGGGUGAGAAUCCCGUAUUUGACCUUUACUUUCAACUUUGUGAUACACUUUCAAAGAGUCGGAUUGUUUGGGAAUGCAGUCCAAAAUGGGUGGUAAAUUUCAUCUAAAGCUAAAUAUUGGCGAGAGACCGAUAGCGAACAAGUACCGUGAGGGAAAGAUGAAAAGAACUUUGAAAAGAGAGUUAAACAGUACGUGAAAUUGUCAAAAGGGAAGCGUUUGACACCAGUGUUGUUUUUCUGAAAAUCAAUUAAAGAACUGUUUAUGCUAAGUUGUUUAGACUUUAUCAGCUAACUGUUUAGUUUUGAGCUUUUCUUUAAUGCACUUUUCAGUUAACAAGUCAACAUCAAUUUCUUUUGCUGUAAAAAAGCUUGAGGAAGGUGGCUUGAGAUUCGUCUUAAGUGUUUAUAGCCUCUUGCCUAUGCAGUCGGAGAGAUUGAGGUCUGCAGCGUAGAUCCUUCGGGGCUAAAUGCAUUUGUGCUAAGUUAUAGCAUUUUAUAGACAACUUGUUGACUAUGAUUUGUCUUGUAGCUUACUCGCUUAUGUUAUUUUACCUACGCUUAGGAUGUUGACGCAUGAGAUAUACGC